GACGAACGCUGGCGGCGUGCCUAAUACAUGCAAGUCGAGCGCAGGAAACUGACGGAACUCUUCGGAGGGAAGGCAGUGGAAUGAGCGGCGGAUGGGUGAGUAACACGUAAGGAACCUGCCUCAAGGAUUGGGAUAACUCCGAGAAAUCGGAGCUAAUACCGGAUAGUUCAACGGACCGCAUGGUCCGCUGAUGAAAGGCGCUUCGGCGUCACCUUGAGAUGGCCUUGCGGUGCAUUAGCUAGUUGGUGGGGUAACGGCCCACCAAGGCGACGAUGCAUAGCCGACCUGAGAGGGUGAUCGGCCACACUGGGACUGAGACACGGCCAGACUCCUACGGGAGGCAGCAGUAGGGAAUCUUCCACAAUGGACGAAAGUCUGAUGGAGCAACGCCGCGUGAGUGAUGAAGGUUUUCGGAUCGUAAAACUCUGUUGUAAGGGAAGAACACGUACGAGAGGAAAUGCUCGUACCUUGACGGUACCUUACGAGAAAGCCACGGCUAACUACGUGCCAGCAGCCGCAGUAAAAC
rnacentral:rRNA from 1 species